ensembl:lncRNA
UGCUGAGGGAGAUGAAACACCUUCAAGAAAGAAAGAUUUUAUUGUAUAUCCCUUUUCCUCGAGGUUGAAGAUACCCCUGUACACACUAAGAUUUUUGUGACAGAAAUGAGAUCGCAACAUUUUGGUGUGUUGAGAACACUACUCCCCAAAUGCAAAUAACCUGGAAGUAGAUUUGGUCUGUGGCUGGGAGAUGAGUGGCUUACACUCAUCAGUGAAGGAUCUGGAAGGACUAUUAGCAGAACAAUGCCUCAGAGGAAGCCUUAAUUAAAGAACAGUAUGUUGAGAGAUUGUCUAUACUCUACUUACAAAAAACUUCACAAUUUUCUAUGACAAUGUUUCUACGCAUUGUAGGAAUGGUUAAAGGUUUGAGGACCCAGAGAAAUUACUGAUAAUAUGAAGUCAUAUAUUAAAAGUAUUUAUUUGAAUCAUUUAUAAUAUUUUGUUCUUGCUGGUGUUUGGAAUAUCUUUAUUUGAAGAGAGGUUUGAAGGGCAGUGUUUUAAAAACAACGUGCUGGUAAUGGUUAUAGUUCUGCAAACACUGACACAAGAAACUUCAUUGUAAUUUUAUGAUCUUCUAAUAUACAUGUAUGUCAAUAUCUGUUUAUAUAUGUAUAGAUUGUGAAAAAAAAAUGGCUUAUGUAAUUAAAUACAAGCAAGAGGACUGUCUUGUCUAGGUUUCUAAAAGUGGAGUGAAAAAAAAAGUGUAGAAAGAGAUUUGGGAUGAGGAAUGUUUUCUCAGGGAUGUUAAAUGCUUUUUGAUCCUGGACUCCCUGUAGCUGUGAUAUAGGUUUGUUUGUUUAACAACUGGAAUCCUUAUAUUACUUGAAGGAUCAAUAUAUUAGUUUAGUAGAAGGAACUAAUGAGUACUAGUUCUAAAACUUUCCGUUUCAACUUUGCUUGGCAUAUGAACAGCCUUGUUUCCUCAAUGAUUCUGACUCACAAAAAACACUGGAGUCAUAAUAGACUACUUUUGUCUUUUUGCACCCACCAGAUGCAAGGACAUCUUCCUCAUAUUUCACCUGUAUUAUUUUUGAAGUUGUUUAAUAUGGUCUAACUGUAAGAGAUUAUUCUUUUAUAUAAUUGAUUCAAAGUUUGCUGAGGAACAAGUCCAGGCAAGUCCUGGGCAAAAGUAGAGAAAUUUCUGUCUGGAGGACACUGAUGGACAGGUCCUGGCUAAGGGUUGUGAAAUCCUUUAAGGAGCACAGGUGGACAAGGCCAGGGGCAACAACAGAAGGAUAAGCUGCUGAUAAUGGCCGAGAAAGGGUCUUUUGUGCGGACUUAUCUCGAGGAAGAUGGCCAUCUCAGGAGGUAUGCACAUGACUCUUGCUCAAGCACCCAGGGAUGUCGCAUAGGCAGGAAAAAAGGAGGAUAAAAGAGGGUCCAACAACCAUGAGGAGAGGUUUCUGCUAUCAGAUCCCUCACUGCGAAAGUCCUGAAUGCUGACGGACACAAGGUUUCUGCCAUCAGAUCCCUCACUACAGAAGGCCUGUAUGCUGAUGGACUCGAGGUGUCUGCCAUCAGAUCCCUCACUACGGACUGCAUGCUGACGGACUUUCCUGGGCCUGAUACCUGAGACCUGCUGCUUCCUCCUGGACUUACUCUGUGGCUUCUUCCUGGAACCACCCAGUACCUGCACGCUCUCAUUGCCCAAGACCAGCCUCACUGCUCCUGCCCUUCGGCCUCAGACCAUCGGAACAGAGUGCAAUGGGUCUACUGCUGGAUCCUGGUGGUGACUAUCCCUGCUUCACGCAAUUCUUGCUUCUUCUUAUCUUUUCUAUCACUCGCCUUCUCUUCCCCAUCACCCCAAUCUGUAAUAGUGUCCGUCCUCCCCUUUCUUCAUCUCCGUUAUUAACAUUUGUAAUAAACUGGUCAGACCAACAUUUGAACCGUUGUUUCUUAAUCUCACGCCAGGUACACAUACAUCAAAGAACCUCCUCUCCCUCCUAUAAAUUGGAGACACCAACAAGCAAUGGAAGUUUGCUAAAUUGAGCAGAAAACAGCUAAAGAUCAGCCAAAAUUAUUUUUGAUAAAGCUGAUGGUGGUGAAAUGGGGAUAAAAUAAGUCGCUGAAAGCCACUAUCAUGCGUGCCCAGAGGGACAUUAGCAUAUAUUGAUGAAUUCUUGGAAAGGAAUCAAUAUGCAUAGCAAUGUACAGCAUAUAUAUGUCUUAAAUGCUUAAAUGUAGAGCCUGAACUCUAAGAGAGCAUGCUUGUUUUGUCAAGUUUUCGGGUACAUAUCAGGAGGUAUAAAGGAAAACCACUUUCUAGCACCACAUUAGAGUUAGAGGGCUUUCUUCCUGGAUUUUGGAUGACAGUUGGAUUUGAAAAUAAUGUGCGUGUUGCAAUUGUGUGUACUGAAUUGAUAAUUUAACAAAUAAUUACAUUUUUAACUUUUGUUUUGUCUUUGAACAAAAGUUUAUUCCCUCCUUCUGCUUAUGUAGAAAUGUAAACUAUUUCUAAACAUGUUUUAGAGACAACUCCUAGAAAGCUUAAUAGCCCUGGUACCUCCUCUAUUGAGCAGACUAAAGAGAUUCUGUUCUGAGAGUUUUGGACAGACCUAUUUAGUUCUGAGAAUUAUCUUCAUAUUUAUCUGUCUCCAGAUACUAAUUCUAGAAACUGUUAAUAAAAAUACUAGUUUAUGUUGUGAGGAUAACAUAUC